UCGGAAUCGGAAUUUAAAUGAGAAAUGAGAUUCAAUUUGAACUUUGGCCAGCGGGGUUUUUCCCCAUUCAUCCCAUCCAACCCAUCAAUCCCUCUCUGAUUGCAAAUACAAAUGAAUUCCAGCUGUCGCCAGAGCUGGAUGCUGGCUGCUGUAUUGCUAUACUGCUAAUUAUUGUUAUACAACCAACUGAAUCUAAAUGUAUUCUUUUGGCUAAUUGCAAAUCGUGUUCGCGGUACACACAGAGACAGAGAGACAGAGAGAACCCUCUAGGGGGUACUGAGAGGCUGAGAAAGACACGACGGGGUGGGAGGUAGCUGUGGUUCAGGUGCAGCCUCAUGUAAGCCAAUCCCCACACUGUCAUCUACGUCAGCGGCAAACCUGUUGCUGGGAGGCACUACCAGGCAGCAGGCAGCAGCUAUCAGCCAUCAGCUGUCGCCAUCAUUGCACUUGGACCUGGAUAUAACCCAUAUAUACAUAUUUUUAGUCACAGAAUGAGGUCACGGAUCGCCACCAUUCGAUGGCUCCGAAGUGAGAACGCUUUGGGAUAUCUUUUGUUAUUGAAUAUGGAUGCUAAUCGCCGUGAGUCAUGAACUGGCUGGCAAUCACGUGAAAGCGUAUGGCUUCUACUAAAAUGUUAAUUUGAAAUGUGUCGAAUAUAAUUAUUAUGAAGCCCGAGGGGAUUUAUGCAUUAAUUUCCGAGAAGAAGAAUAAUAAUAAAGGUCCAUUUCAAUUGAA